rnacentral:guide_RNA from 1 species
UAAACAAUCCUACAGUGAUCUCAUGUAUAAGACUAGUGAUUUAAU